rnacentral:rRNA from 1 species
AUUGAACGCUGGCGGCAUGCCUUACACAUGCAAGUCGAACGGUAACAGGUCUUCGGAUGCUGACGAGUGGCGAACGGGUGAGUAAUACAUCGGAACGUGCCCGAUCGUGGGGGAUAACGAAGCGAAAGCUUUGCUAAUACCGCAUACGAUCUACGGAUGAAAGCAGGGGACCGCAAGGCCUUGCGCGAACGGAGCGGCCGAUGGCAGAUUAGGUAGUUGGUGGGAUAAAAGCUUACCAAGCCGACGAUCUGUAGCUGGUCUGAGAGGACGACCAGCCACACUGGGACUGAGACACGGCCCAGACUCCUACGGGAGGCAGCAGUGGGGAAUUUUGGACAAUGGGCGAAAGCCUGAUCCAGCCAUGCCGCGUGCAGGAUGAAGGCCUUCGGGUUGUAAACUGCUUUUGUACGGAACGAAAAGACUCUGGUUAAUACCUGGGGUCCAUGACGGUACCGUAAGAAUAAGCACCGGCUAACUACGUGCCAGCCGCCGCAGUAACAC